rnacentral:rRNA from 1 species
GUAGGUGGCAAGCGUGUCCGGAAUUAUUGGGCGUAAAGCGCGCGCAGGUGGUUCUUUAAGUCUGAUGUGAAAGCCCCCGGCUCAACCGGGGAGGGUCAUUGGAAACUGGGGAACUUGAGUGCAGGAGAGGAAAGUGGAAUUCCACGUGUAGCGGUGAAAUGCGUAGAUAUGUGGAGGAACACCAGUGGCGAAGGCGACUUUCUGGCCUGUAACUGACACUGAGGCGCGAAAGCGUGGGGAGCAAACAGGGAUUAGAUACCCUGGUAGUCCACGCCGUAAACGAUGAGUGCUAAGUGUUGGGGGGGUUUCCCGCCCCUCAGUGCUGCAGCUAACGCAUUAAGCACUCCGCCUGGGGAGUACGGUCGCAAGACUG